rnacentral:rRNA from 1 species
GAUACUGGCUCAGGAUGAACGCUAGCUACAGGCUUAACACAUGCAAGUCGAGGGGUCAGCAUUUUCAGUUUGCUUUGCAAACUGGAGAUGGCGACCGGCGCACGGGUGAGUAACACGUAUCCAACCUGCCGAUAAACUCGGGGGAUAGCCUUUCGAAAGAAAGAUUAAUACCCGAUGGUAUAAUUAGACCGCAUGGUCUUGUUAUUAAAGAAUUUCGGUUAUCGAUGGGGAUGCGUUCCAUUAGGCAGUUGG